AGUGGGUGUGGCCCAGAGAAACCCAGUGUCAGUGACAUCAUUAACCUCGAGAUGUUGCAACUUGGAUCCAAACUGAAAUCAAGUAACACACAGUCAGGCUGGUCCUGUUCUUCCUGUACAUUCAUAAAUAAGUCUACGAGACCCGGCUGUGAAAUCUGCAGCACAGAUCGACCCAAUCCUCCCAAUCACAGCAGCGUUCAACAGG